CGUAAAGUAAGCUAACAAAGCUUUUGGGCUCAUAUUCCAAGAAUGGGAGAUAAAAACUCCCCUUUACUA
rnacentral:tRNA from 1 species